AUUUUGGACAAUGGGGGAAACCCUGAUCCAGCCAUCCCGCGUGUAUGAUGAAGGCCUUCGGGUUGUAAAGUACUUUUGGCAGAGAAGAAAAGGUACCUCCUAAUACGAGGUACGGCUGACGGUAUCUGCAGAAUAAGCACCGGCUAACUAAGUGCCAGCAGCCGCGGGAAUAAGUAGGGUGCAAGCGAUAAUCGGACUUACUGGGCGUAAAGCGUGUGUAGGCAGUUCGGAAAGAAAGAUGUGAAAUCCCAGGGCUCAACCUUGGAACUGCAUUUUUAACUGCCGAGCUAGAGUAUGUCAGAGGGGGGUAGAAUUCCACGUGUAGCAGUGAAAUGCGUAGAUAUGUAGAGGAAUACCGAUGGCGAAGGCAGCCGCCUGGGAUAAUACUGACGCUCAGACACGAAAGCGUGGGGAGCAAAC
rnacentral:rRNA from 1 species